rnacentral:rRNA from 1 species
UACGGAGGGUGCGAGCGUUGUCCGGAAUCACUGGGCGUAAAGGGCGCGUAGGCGGUCUGCUAAGCGUGUGGUGAAAGCUCGGGGCUCAACCCCGAGUCUGCCAUGCGAACUGGUGGACUUGAGCACUGUAGAGGCAGGUGGAAUUCCGGGUGUAGCGGUGGAAUGCGUAGAGAUCCGGAAGAACACCAGUGGCGAAGGCGAGUCUCUGGACAUUUCCUGACGCUGAGGCACGAAAGCCAGGGGAGCAAACGGG